AUGGCCUUGUCAUAUACCUGGGGCCUUGGGGCUGGCUGUCAGCUGGGGCGCCUCAGUCGUCCUUUGUGUGACCUCUCUCCAGCAGGAUAGCCAGGACUUCUUAUAUGACCAGCUUCCCAGAGUGCAAACACAGAAGCUGCAAGUGACGUAGCACCAUCAUGUCCAUCACAUUCAAUUGAUGAGGAAAUUGUGGCUCUGAGAGGUUGAAGCUCCAGGAUCUCUUAGCAAAGCAAAUGGCUAAGGCAGACGGUGUCAAGCCUGAAAGCUCUCCCCACCUUCUCCUGCUCCCUCACGCCCCUUCAUUCUUCACGUCAUUUUGGCAUCUGCUUCUUGUUAAAAAAAAAGGAAUUUAUGGAGUAAAUUUUAAAGAUCUUAUCGGCU